UACAGAGGUCUCAAGCGUUGUUCGGAUUCAUUGGGCGUAAAGGGUGUGUAGGUGGCGCCGUAAGUCGGGUGUGAAAUUUCGGAGCUUAACUCCGAAACUGCAUUCGAUACUGCGGUGCUUUGAGGACUGGAGAGGAGACUGGAAUUCAUGGGUGUAGCAGUGAAAUGCGUAGAGAUCAUGAGGAAGACCAGUGGCGAAAGGCGGGUCUCUGGACAGUUCCUGACACUGAGACACGAAGGCCAGGGGAGCAAACGGG
rnacentral:rRNA from 1 species